rnacentral:lncRNA from 1 species
ACCACUGCACUCCAGCCUGGGCGACACAGUGAGACUCUGUCUCAAAAACAAAAAAAGAGGUUAUGGGCAGUUCUAAGGAAAUCCAGUUACCAGAUCCUCAAUUCACCACGUGCUUUUCUAAAAUGGAUCUGCCUCAACACUGAGGUCCCACGAUGGUUUCUACCUCUCUUUUCACAAUCAGUUGACUCCCACGUCACAAAAGAAAGAUAUAACCUCUCAGCCAGUGACAGAAAAAGGUCUCAUCUAUCACAUUGAGAUAUAUUUACAAAAAAAGUACAUUUACAGUAAAAUUUUACUGUUUAAUAAAAUUUAUAACAUACUUUCAUGAGUUUUAUCAAUUAUGUAGUAAUAUUCAUAAUUUUAAAAACAGCACUCUAUCCAGAAGUACUUUUUAACUAUUUAGAGCUUUACAGUCACAAAAAACUUACUAUAUUCCAUUAGAAUAAAAUUCUGUAGGGUAAACAUAAUGGAAAUAGUAGUACAGAAGAAAAUAGAAUUGUUAAAAAUGCCUACUAUAAAACAAGACCUGUUCAGUUAUCCUUGAAAAGGAUGCUGGUGGAUAUAAAACCUCUAUGGUAUUUAAUAUAAUCUGGACAUUCUUAAAAGAGUGAUGUCACAAUUUAAGUUUCAGUAUUCAUUAUGUCAUAAAUUAUAGCAUUUGGAGCUACUUAAAAUUUAUGAUGAAAUUUGUUAGAUUUUAAAAUGUGCAAAGAAAAAAAAAGUUGUUCAACUUUUUUUGUUUUCCCUUGCACCUAUGCUUGGAUGUUAAACAUUCUUACAGACAACGCCUGAACAAAAAAGGUUGGAAGAUCACUGUACUGUCACAGGGAAUUAAAAUACCAGGAACAUGCACAGGAAUAUGAUAUAUUUCAAAAUUUAAAAAGAAAAAACUAAAAUAUGCUGAGAUACAUGAAACUUCAACUAUAGAAGGACAAGGCAAGGAUAAUGAAAAGUUCUGGAACCAGACAGUGGUGAU